UACAGAGGUCCCAAGCGUUGUUCGGAUUCAUUGGGCGUAAAGGGUGCGUAGGUGGCGCUGUAAGUCGGGUGUGAAAUUUCGAGGCUUAACCUCGAAACUGCAUUCGAUACUGCGGUGCUUGAGGACUGGAGAGGAGACUGGAAUUCAUGGUGUAGCAGUGAAAUGCGUAGAGAUCAUGAGGAAGACCAGUGGCGAAGGCGGGUCUCUGGACAGUUCCUGACACUGAGGCACGAAGGCCAGGGGAGCAAACGGG
rnacentral:rRNA from 1 species